CCGUCCAUAGCUCAGUCGGUAGAGCAGCGGCCUUUUAAGCCGACGGUCGUUGGUUCGAAUCCAACUGGACGGA
rnacentral:tRNA from 1 species